CCUACGGCGGGCAGCAGUGGGGAAUAUUACACAAUGGGGGGAACCCUGAUGCAGCGACGCCGCGUGAGCGAGGAAGUAUUUCGGUAUGUAAAGCUCUAUCAGCAGGGACGAAAAAAGACGGUACCUGACUAAGAAGCCCCGGCUAACUACGUGCCAGCAGCCGCGGUAAUACGUAGGGGGCAAGCGUUAUCCGGAUUUACUGGGUGUAAAGGGAGCGUAGACGGUUAUGUAAGUCUGGAGUGAAAGCCCGGGGCCCAACCCCGGGACUGCUUUGGAAACUGUGUAACUGGAGUACAGGAGGGGCAGGCGGAAUUCCUGGUGUAGCGGUGAAAUGCGUAGAUAGCAGGAGGAACACCGGCGGCGAAGGCGGCCUGCUGGACUGAAACUGACGUUGAGGCUCGAAAGCGUGGGGAGCAAACAGGAUUAGAUACCCGAGUAGUC
rnacentral:rRNA from 1 species